UGCUGGCUUCAACAGCACACAUACAAAAUUGGAAUGAUAUAGAGAAGAUUAAUAUGGCGCUUGUGCAAGGAUGGCAUGCUAGUUGGUGAAGCAUUUCAUUUAAAA